CCUGGUUGAUCCUGCUAGUAGUCAUAUGCUUGUCUCAAAAAUUAAGCCAUGCAUGUGUAUGUAUAAAUUAAUUCAGACUAUGAAAUUGUGAAUAGCUCAUUAAAUUAAUUAUAGUUUAUUUGAUGGUAUCUACUACUCAAAUAACCAUAGUAAUUCUAGAGCUUAUACAUGCAACAAACUCCUAACUUCUGGAAGGGAUGCAUUUAUUAAUUAAAAGGUCGACAUGGGUUUUGCCUUUUGCUUUGAUGAUUCAUGAUAACUAGAUGGAUUGCACAGUCUUUAUGCCAAUUAUGCAUCAUUCAAAUUUCUACCUUAUCAACUUUCAAUGGUAGGAUAGUGGCCUAUUAUGGUGGUGAUUGGUGACGGAGAAUUAAGGUUUAAUUCUAGAAAAGGAGCUUAAGAAAUGACUACCACAUCUAAGGAAGGCAGCAAGUUCGUAAAUUACCCAAUCCUGACACAAAGAGGUAGUGACAAUAAAUAACAAUACUAGGCUCUAUGAGUUUGGUAACGAGUACAAUCUAAAUCCCUUAACAAGCAUCCAUUAGAGGACAUGUUUGGUGCCAAUAGCCACAACAAUUCUAGCACCAAUAACGUAUAUUUAAGUUUUUGUAGUUAAAAAACUCAUAGUUGGAACUAAGGUUAGGUCUUUCAAUCCAUCUCGCGAUGAGCACCGAUCUACUCGUCCCUAUAGCUGGCAAUAUGUCUUGGCCUUAAUUGGCUAGGUUAUUCCUUUGGCAUUAUUACUUUGAAGAAAUUAAAGUGCUCAAAGCAAGCUGACACUUGUAUACAUUAACAUGGGAUAAAAUCAUUGGAUUUCAAUCCUAUUAUGUUAGCCUUCGAGAUCAGAUAAUGAUUAACAAGGUCAGUCAGGGGCAUUUGUAUUUCAUCGUCAGAUGUGAAAUUCUUGGAUUUAUGAAAGAUGAACAACUAUAAAAGUAUUUGUCAAAGAUGUUUUCAAUAAUUAAGAAUGAAAGCCCCUCGAAGAUGAUCAAAUACCAUCCUAGUCUCAACCAUAAAUAAUACUGACUAGGGAUCGACGAAUGUUACUUUUAGGACUUUGCUGGCACCUUAUGAGAAAUCAAAGGUUUUAGUUCUCGCAAGGGGAGUAUGGUCACAAGGCUUAAACUUAAAGGAAUUGACAGAAUGAUACCACUAAGAGUGGAGCUUGCAGCUUUAAUUUGACUCAACACGAAAAACCUUACCAGGUCUAGAUAUAGUAAGGAUUAACAAACUAAAAGCUCUUUCUUGAUUCUAUGGUGGUGGUGAAAGGCUAUUCUUAGUUAGUGGAGCAUUUUGUCUAGUUAAUUCUAUUAACGAACAAGAUCUCAGCCUACUAACUAGUUAUGCAGAAGUGAUCAUUCAUGGCUAGCUUCUUAGAGGGACUAUGGCCGCUUAGGCCAAGGAAGUUUGAGGUAAUAAUAAGUCUAUAAUGCCUUUAGAUGUUAUGGGUUGCACGUGCACUACACUGAUGUAUUCAAUGAGUCUAUAGCCUUGGCUGACAGGCUCGGGUAAUCUUUGAAAUAUCAUCAUAAUGGGGAUAGAUCAUUAUAAUUGUUGGUCUUCAAUGAGAACCUAGUAAGCAUAAGUUAUCAGCUCAUGUUGACUACGUCCUUGCCCUUUGUACACACCUCUCAUCACUCCUACUGAUUGAAUGGUUUGAAUGGUUUGAUGGUUCACUAUUUACGAUGUUACAAGAAGUCCAUUAAACCUUAUCAUUUAAAGGAAUGAGAAUUUAUAACAAGGUUUUCAUAGGUGAACCUAUGGAAG
rnacentral:rRNA from 1 species